UACGUAGGGUGCAAGCGUUGUUCGGAUUCAUUGGGCGUAAAGGGUGUGUAGGUGGCGCCGUAAGUCGGGUGUGAAAUUUCGGAGCUUAACUCCGAAACUGCAUUCGAUACUGCGGUGCUUGAGGACUGGAGAGGAGACUGGAAUUCAUGGUGUAGCAGUGAAAAUGCGUAGAUAUCGUAAGGAAGACCAGUGGCGAAGGCGGGUCUCUGGGGCCGACAUUGACGCUGAGGAGCGAAAGCGUGGGGGAGCGAACGG
rnacentral:rRNA from 1 species